UUUGGUGACUGGACUAGAGAAGACUUAAGCAGUUGCUUUGAACUUGCCAUAACUAUGAAGGCUUGGUGUGUCCUCCUUUUCAUCACCUUUGUGGUUCUUUCUGAUCUGGGGGAAGCUGACAGGAUAAUGGAUUCAAGAGCAUGCCUUAAAAGUAAAGGAGUUUGCAGAAAGCAAUGUGCUGCCUCUGAAAAGAAGAUAGGACUUUGUCACGUCAAUGAGCCUUGCUGCCAAACGUAAGCUAAGGGGAAGGCUUCUGAUCAUGACAUGGAAAAACCAUCAUCUUCUACAUAAAUGCCUGAUGGAAUCUGGAUUAUAUAGAAGCUUUAAAAACAUGAGAAAAAUCCUUGUUGAUUUGAAUUAACAAACAAUUAAUUUCAAACAAUUAUUCUUAUUAAAAUAAUCUGGAUUUACAAA